rnacentral:rRNA from 1 species
AGGACGACGCUGGCGGCGUGCCUAACACAUGCAAAGUCGAACGAAGAAUGUUUUCGGAAUAUUCUUAGUGGCGGACGGGUGAGUAACGCGUGAACAAUCUGCCCCGUACAAAGGGAUAGCCUCGGGAAACCGGGAUUAAAACCAUAUAACGCUUUAGUACCGCAUGGUAAUAAAGUCAAAUCGAUUAAGAGGUAUGGGAUGAGUUCGCGUCUGAUUAGCUAGUUGGUGAGGUAAGGGCUCACCAAGGCGACGAUCAGUAGCCGGCCUGAGAGGGUGAACGGCCACACUGGAACUGAGACACGGGUCCAGACUCCUACGGGAGGCAGCAGUGGGGAAUAUUGCACAAUGGAGGGAACUCUGAUGCAGCGACGCCGCGUGAGUGAAGAAGGUCUUCGGAUCGUAAAACUCUGUCCUUGGUGAAGAAAAGGACGGUAGCCAAGGAGGAAGCCCCGGCUAACUACGUG